UACAGAGGGGGCAAGCGUUGUUCGGAAUUACUGGGCGUAAAGGGCGCGUAGGCGGCCAACUAAGUCAGACGUGAAAUCCCCAGGCUCAACCUGGGAACUGCGUCUGAUACUGGAUGGCUUGAGUUCGGGAGAGGGAAGUGGAAUUCCAGGUGUAGCGGUGAAAUGCGCAGAUAUCAGGAGGAACACCGAUGGCGAAGGCAGGUCUCUGGGCAUUAACUGACGCUGAGGAGCGAAAGCAUGGGGAGCGAACAGG
rnacentral:rRNA from 1 species